rnacentral:rRNA from 1 species
GGGAAACUCACCAGGUCCAGAUGAAAUAAGGAUUGACAGAUUGAGAGCUCUUUCUUGAUUUUUCAGGUGGUGGUGCAUGGCCGUUCUUAGUUGGUGGAGUGAUUUGUCUGCUUAAUUGCGAUAACGAACGAGACCUUAACCUGCUAAAUAGCCAGGCUAGCUUUGGCUGGUCGCCGGCUUCUUAGAGGGACUAUCGGCUCAAGCCGAUGGAAGUUUGAGGCAAUAA